rnacentral:rRNA from 1 species
AGUGAACGCUGGCGGUAGGCCUAACACAUGCAAGUCGAACGGCAGCACAGAGGAGCUUGCUCCCUGGGUGGCGAGUGGCGGACGGGUGAGGAAUACAUCGGAAUCUACUCUGUCGUGGGGGAUAACGUAGGGAAACUUACGCUAAUACCGCAUACGACCUAAGGGUGAAAGCAGGGGACCUUCGGGCCUUGCGCGAUUGAAUGAGCCGAUGUCGGAUUAGCUAGUUUGCGGGGUAAAGGCCCACCAAGGCGACGAUCCGUAGCUGGUCUGAGAGGAUGAUCAGCCACACUGGAACUGAGACACGGUCCAGACUCCUACGGGAGGCAGCAGUGGGGAAUAUUGGACAAUGGGCGCAAGCCUGAUCCAGCCAUACCGCGUGGGUGAAGAAGGCCUUCGGGUUGUAAAGCCCUUUUGUUGGGAAAGAAAUCCAGCUGGCUAAUACCCGGUUGGGAUGACGGUACCCAAAGAAUAAGCACCGGCUAACUUCGUGCCAGCCGCCGCAGUAA